rnacentral:lncRNA from 1 species
GGAACUCUCUCCACAAGUUAGACUCGAUAGAUCUUGGGGUUUUUACUCACUAUGCAUCAACACAUGUGGUGUGAGCAAGGUGAGUGACGCACAGAAUAGUAGGAGAUAGGCUACAUAUCUCUUCUAUCUACCAAUUGCCUCAUAUGAGGUCUUUUCCUGCUUGAGGACAAAAGUAAACAAUCACAAACAUUGCCUCUUAAGGAGGACUUC